rnacentral:tRNA from 1 species
GGGGAUAGCUCAUCUGUAGAGUGUGUGCCUGGCAUGCACGAGGUCCUGGGUUCAAUCCCCAGUGUCCCUG